rnacentral:rRNA from 1 species
CACGUAGGGCGCAAGCGUUGUCCGGAAUUAUUGGGCGUAAAGGGCUCGUAGGCGGCCAACUAAGUCAGACGUGAAAUCCCUCAGCUUAACUGGGGAACUGCGUCUGAUACUGGAUGGCUUGGAUUCGGGAGAGGAAUGCGGAAUUCCAGGUGUAGCGGUGAAAUGCGUAGAUAUCUGGGGGAACACCGGUGGCGAAGGCGGCAUUCUGGACCGAUAUUGACGCUGAGGAGCGAAAGCCAGGGGAGCAAACGGG